AGGGGGGGUACGCCCGGUCCCGUUCCGAACCCGGAAGCUAAGCCCCCGAGCGCCGAGAGUACUGCGGUGUAGACCGUGGGAGGGCAGGGCGCCGCUGACC
rnacentral:rRNA from 1 species